CUACCUACGGGGGGCAGCAGUGGGGAAUAUUGCACAAUGGGGGAAGCCCUGAUGCAGCAACGCCGCGUGAGUGAUGACGGCCUUCGGGUUGUAAAGCUCUGUCUUCAGGGACGAUAAUGACGGUACCUGAGGAGGAAGCCACGGCUAACUACGUGCCAGCAGCCGCGGUAAUACGUAGGUGGCGAGCGUUGUCCGGAAUUACUGGGUGUAAAGGGAGCGUAGGCGGGGAUGCAAGUUGGGUGUCAAAACUAUCGGCUCAACCGAUAGUCGCACUCAAAACUGCAACUCUUGAGUGAAGUAGAGGC
rnacentral:rRNA from 1 species